rnacentral:rRNA from 1 species
GAUGAACGCUGGCGGCGUGCCUAAUACAUGCAAGUCGAGCGAACAGGCGAGGAGCUUGCUCCUCUGACGUUAGCGGCGGACGGGUGAGUAACACGUGGAUAACCUACCUAUAAGACUGGGAUAACUUCGGGAAACCGGAGCUAAUACCGGAUAAUAUAUUGAACCGCAUGGUUCAAUAGUGAAAGACGGUUUUGCUGUCACUUAUAGAUGGAUCCGCGCCGCAUUAGCUAGUUGGUAAGGUAACGGCUUACCAAGGCAACGAUGCGUAGCCGACCUGAGAGGGUGAUCGGCCACACUGGAACUGAGACACGGUCCAGACUCCGACGGGAGGCAGCAGUAGGGAAUCUGCCGCAAUGGGCGAAAGCCUGACGGAGCAACGCCGCGUGAGUGAUGAAGGUCUUCGGAUCGUAAAACUCUGUUAUUAGGGAAGAACAAAUGUGUAAGUAACUAUGCACGUCUUGACGGUACCUAAUCAGAAAGCCACGGCUAACUACGU